UGGCGGCGUGCUUAACACAUGCAAGUCGAACGAUGAACCGGGUGCUUGCACCUGGGGAUUAGUGGCGAACGGGUGAGUAACACGUGAGUAACCUGCCCUGGACUCUGGGAUAACCCCGAGAAAUCGGAGCUAAUACCGGAUAGGACCUGGAACCGCAUGGUUUUGGGUGGAAAGUUUUUUCGGUCUGGGAUGGACUCGCGGCCUAUCAGCUUGUUGGUGAGGUAAUGGCUCACCAAGGCGUCGACGGGUAGCCGGCCUGAGAGGGUGACCGGCCACACUUGGGACUGAGACACGGCCCAGACUCCUACGGGAGGCAGCAGUGGGGAAUAUUGCACAAUGGGCGAAAGCCUGAUGCAUCAUCGCCGCGUGAGGAAUGACGGCCUUCGGGUUGUAAACCUCUUUUAGUAGGGAAGAAGGCUUCA
rnacentral:rRNA from 1 species